rnacentral:rRNA from 1 species
UACGUAGGGAGCAAGCGUUUGUCCGGAAUCAUUGGGCGUAAAGCGCGCGUAGGCGGCCCCGUAAGUCCGCUGUGAAAGUCAAAGGCUCAACCUUUGAAAGCCGGUGGAUACUGUGGGGCUAGAGUCCGGAAGAGGCGAGUGGAAUUCCUGGUGUAGCGGUGGAAUGCGCAGAUAUCAGGAGGAACACCAAUAGCGAAGGCAGCUCGCUGGGACGGUACUGACGCUAAGGCGCGAAAGCUAGGGGAGCAAACAGG